rnacentral:rRNA from 1 species
UACGUAGGGGGCAAGUGUUGUCCGGAAUCAUUGGGCGUAAAGAGCGUGUAGGCGGUCCUGUAAGUCCGCUGUGAAAGUCAAGGGCUCAACCCUUGAAUGCCGGUGGAUACUGCAGGACUAGAGUCCGGAAGGAGCGAGUGGAAUUCCUGGUGUAGCGGUGAAAUGCGCAGAUAUCAGGAGGAACACCGAUGGCGAAGGCAGCUCGCUGGGACGGUACUGACGCUGAGACGCGAAAGCGUGGGGAGCAAACAGG